rnacentral:misc_RNA from 2 species
AACGCACAUUGCGCCCGCUAGUACUCUAGCGGGCAUGCCUGUUCGAGCGUCAUUUCAACCCUCAAGCCCUGCUUGGUAUUGGGGCCCUACGGCUGCCGUAGGCCCUGAAAGGAAGUGGCGGGCUCGCUACAACCCCGAGCGUAGUAAUUCAUUAUCUCGCUUAGGGCGUUGUGCGGUGCUCCAGCCGUUAAAGACCAUCUUUAACUCAAGGUUGACCUCGGAUCAGGUAGGAAUACCCGCUGAACUUAA